UGAUUAAUUCAAAUCUAUACUAUUAAACGAGAAGACCUCAUUUUGGGUGUCGCUUCUCUUCUUUCCACAAUAAAUUAAUCAACACGCCUCUGUGUCCUAUAGGUACAGUGCAUAGUCGCAUUUGUCAUCCAUUCAUAUGAUUAUUCAGAUUGAGUUAUUUUGGGAGAAAAUCGAGAAAAAGGGCAUCCGGAUAUUGUCCCGUCAUUGGACAAAAUUUUAAGUCAGAU
rnacentral:lncRNA from 1 species